AUGAAGGGGGGAACCAGCCUUCCAGUGAGCCUCCCGGCCGGACCCUUUCCCAUUUGGCCAGGAACUACAGGACAAGCGACAGCUUCACGGGGACAGCAUGAGGAGCAAGCGAGACACGGCAGGUCCAGGCCCUGCACAGAGCCGGACCCCGGCCUUGCUGCUGCUGUUUCUGUUGUAAAGGACACAAAGCGCCUGGCCCGGGCCGGACGUGGUAUUGGGGUUGUGCUCGGGCGGUCCCUGAGGACAACCCGGGGCUCCCUGGGGCCCCUCGCCUCCAGCCCAGUGAGGCAGGCCUGCGCCGUGGGGGGAAGUGUAACCGUUUGGGUGGUGAGCGGUGCCUCUUUCAGUUCCUGGGCCUAUUUUUAAGGCCUGUGGGUUCCGGCCUCUGUCCGUUUCUGGGGCCAGAGGGACCUGCGAGGGUGCCGUGCGGCAUCUUGGGAAUGAGGACUCUGGACGUCACACUUCAAGGAGACCGAGGAACGGGGGCCCCUGGGGGGCUCAGCCCGUGGAGCGUCCGACUUUGGCUCUGGUCAUGAUCUCGCGGUUCAUGAGUUUGAGCCCCGAGUCGGGCUCGCUGCUGUCAGCACAGAGCCCGCUUCGGACCCUCUGUCCCUACCUGUCUCUGCCCGUCCCCUUCCUGUGCUCGCUCGCUCUCUCUCAAAAAUAAAUCAACAUUAAAAAUUAAUGAAGAGACCAGGGGUCACCGCUGCAGGUGUCUCUGCAAGGUGACGGUGUGCGGAGUUGUGUGGCACCGUGGCCUGCCCAGGGGGCCUGCUGUGUCCCCCCAUGGCCGUGUGCGCCUCCUUGCGCUUGCCGGGCAGCCUCGGGGAUGCCUGCUGAGCCGUGAGGCCGCCCAGGAGAAACCCCACAACCAGCCUCAGGCCCCCAAAACAAAAAUUUGUUUUUUCCAGUGAAAAAGUGUUCCAUGUACAUUAUAGAAACUGGAAAAUUUAGGGGCGUCCGACUUCAGCUCAGGUCAUGAUCUCUUGGUUAGUGAGUUCGAGCCCCGCGUCGGGCUCGGUGCUGACAGCUCAGAGCCUGGAGCCUGCUUUGGAUUCUGUGUCUCCCUCUCUCUCUGCCCCUCCCUCACUCAUGCUCUCUCUUUGUCUCAAAAAUGAAUAAACGUUAAAAAAAAGAAUUAGAAAAAGAAACUAGAAAAUUUAAGAGAAUGGGAGAAAAUGGUUCCAAUCACACAGAGGCGACUAUUAACUUUGCAAAGGUUUGCUUUCCAAUCUUUGUAAAGCCUUUUUCAGGAACCCUUGAUAUUCUAGACGUGAAGUUUCUUAGUCAUGUUCUCUUACUCAAAACUCCUGAAACAUCUUCCACGUUGUUCAAACUAAACAUCAUUUAGAGGACCGCAAGGUAGUGGGCUGGAUUUGCCCUCGUUCCCUGAAUUGGUCUUACCGUGCGGGAAACUUGGCUCAGAUCCAGGUUUUCAGCGCGCCUCCUG
rnacentral:lncRNA from 1 species